CCUAGAAUUAUUAAAUAUUUAGAAGAAAUAUUUUUUUUUGAAUAAAUGUUAUGUAAAGUUCUUUGAUCAGAUUAUGUUGCCGUUUAUGUAAUCACCACAUAGUGAGGGUGACAUUGAACAAUAGUUCAGCAAGCCAGAGUGUAUGACCUAUUGGUUACAUUUUCUGAAUUUUUGGAAGAAAUA